UGUGGGACCCUCACAGCCAUGCCUAGGGCUUUACCCUGUGCUUGAAAUAAUGACAAGAAAUCCAUUCCUCCUAGCUCUUCACCCACAUGUUCCAGGCUGCAACUUAAGUGCUGUCCCAGACAAACAUAAGGAAGUAUGAUAGCUGAUAUAUCUACAUUGCAGUAGGGUCUGAGGUCUCAGUGCCAGCAUUUUCCACAAGAUGGGCAUGAACACCUCCAUGUAUCUCUUGUCCGGAUCAACAGGAUGCAGUGAAAUUUCUGCCCUUCUCCAGCAAAGCUUGAGAAACCUGGGACUGGCUCUUUUGGCUCUGAGCUCAGCAGCUUUGCAGAAGCUCAGUUCUGCCUCCUUCGAAUGUUGGCUCUCUAGGGUUGGCGUCCUGGGCUGCAUGACAGAUCUGAGCUGUCUGCUUCCCCAUGCAUUGGCUCUUUCCUUCUCCUAACUCCCAGGAGAGGAUCCCAGAGCACAGGACUAUCCCUGGCUGUGGCAUUUCCCAACACUUUGUGUCUAGGUGCCUGAAGCAAGGGCUCCGUCUGUGGGCUAAACCACUCAGUGUUGGAGGUGAGUCCCACAGUUCCUCUUCUGGCAGCUAGUGUCCACUCCAGAAUAAGCACAGCGCUCAGGUUCCCCUGAUCCUGGGUCCAGCAUUGCUCUGCAACUUUGCCUGGAGAUGUAGCCAGGACUGAACCAUGUUCUCCACGGCUCUGCAAAUGUCCAGUGCUUUUGCAUGGCUUAAGAACGUGAUUCAGCCAUAGUUCAUUCCACUUACAUUACCAGACUGACUCGCCUCUUAGCAUUUCUGGGUGACAACUAUAUGUCAGGCAGAUAUUUCACCAUGGUAGCUCCUAUGGUGGAGGUAGGGUCUUAGAACAUCUCAAGUGGGUUAUGCUUGGUUCCAUGUCCAGUGAAGAUCGUACCACAGGCUGGGGUGGGAGGCAAGGACCAUCCACCUGCCUUAUACAAAUUCAGUAAUGGGCUGAAUGGGCAGCUUGCUCCAUUGGAGUGGAGCAUGGUUACUGAUGAUAGUAAAAAGAGGACACUUCCUGUGCAGCUCUUGCUAGGAGCUUUCUUUAAAAUGGGCGAUUGAAAAGGCAGGGCCCUCUGGCUGGAGGCACAACGCCUUCUCUGAGCAAGCUGCUGGGUGAAUCAAAUGGUACUCCAGUUGCUUCCACUUUGGAUGCCCAAUUGGGCAAUUCUGCUUUGACAUGUUCUUUCUUCAUUGUGGGAACGUGCUGCCAAGUAACAGAGCCGCUUUGAUUAACGUGCAGACUUGAAUCAAGCAUAGAGGAAUAUGGGAGGCAAGAGAGCUAGAGCGGAAUGGAGCAGCAAAGACGACUCCAUUAGAGUGGAUGCCGGAGAGAGGGAUUGAGGUCAGCCAAGGCAGGCACCCUGGGAAGGGCACAGAUGUGGUGCUAGGACAGAUGGACUCUGCUGAGGCAACUCUUGCAAAAUACUGGGUUGCGGGAGAAGCAGAUGGGGAGGUGCUGAGAAGUUCAGAAUGCAGGGCCGAGAUAGCAGAGCAGUGCACACGAGAGGGAUUAAGGACACAGGGAUGGAGCAGAUGGCAUGGCGGGGGAAAAGAGGGUGCAAGGACAAAGCCAAAGGCUGAGAUGCAUACAGUGGGUCAAUGGGAUAAAGCAGAUGGGGAUCAGUGAGUUCAUGGGUUGGGACAGUGAGGCAAACAGCUCUUCAAAUGGGAAAUGGUUUCAGUUGCAUGUGAGGUGUUUGAGGGUCUCGACCGCAUUCUGAAGACACCACAUUAUUCAGGCCUGCUUCGGAGAGAAGGGCUAACCCCGCAGGGGCUGAGCCCGUGUCUGGAAGGGCAGGGGGAAGCCGGUCAGCACUGGUACAGAGGUUAGGGAGGGAUGUGUAGUCUCCUCAGCCCUGUUUGCACUGUGCCAGCCUACAACUUGUCUUAUCAGGACCUUGUUUUCAUGACCAUGACACUCAUCCCAAAGUAUAGAGACCAGGUAUCUGGAUUAUGCCCGGCACAGGCCAUUCUCUCAGCUCCCUAGAAAAUGAAGGGAGGAGACAAUCCAGCUCUUCCAUCGAAUGGCCUGAAGGAAGCUGAGUUUCAUGGAUUCAUGAGCCAGAAGGCACAGCCUAGCUCCUGAAGACAGAUGAGCUGGAGUGUGGGGGUGGGGGGAAUGGGAAGUAAGGGAAAUACUUCCUGGAUGGGCUGUAUUUUCUAACAGAGCACCUACCCCUAAUCCCUGCAAGACAAGCUUUGCUUGGUGAUAGUUGCUUUGCCCACCCAACUCUCUGUAGAACUUGUCAUGAGUGAUGUACCAUAAAUAUUUGGGUGUAAAUACCCACGCUGCAGCAUUAAAUGGAGUUCUUGCUGGUCAUGCGCUGUAUGUAGCUGGUGACUUUUCAGAAUGAACUUUGUACCUGGGCUAACAUACAGGGCCAUCCUUACCCAUAUACAGCACCUGAAACUGUGGGGCACCACUAGGUCUUAAUGUCCAUCCAUCCGCCUCUUCCUGGUCUGGGGCUCUGUUUUCUGCAGGGGAAUCUAGUUAACUUCCAAGUGACAAGCCUGCCAGAGCUAUUAGCAGAACACUGAACCUGAGACAAAGCCAUUCAAAAUGGAAAUGAAACCACUUCACCAGCGUUUGCCUACCCCAGGUGUGUACUGUCCCUUUCUGAAUUUCCCGUUAGUCAACAGAACCAGAGUUUAAAAUUUGCUCUACAAAUAUUUCAUGAGUGUGUGGCUGAAGACCAUAAAAUCGCAUCUCUAAAGCAUCGUCCUCCGGGCGUGGGGAAUGGGGCAGCAGCUUCACAGCACUGCUAGGCCCCACCAGUGCUAGGGGCGCCCUGCUAACCUGAGCCCGGCCCCAGGCGUACAGCCCCUCUCCCAACCCGGGCACUCUCGUGUCAUUUUAACAUGAGCUGUAACCACUUCGCGGCCGGGCGGCGGAGAGCGCAGCAGCCCGAGUGUCCCUGGCGCUGACAGCCCCGAGGCAGAGAUACAGACUAGCACGGCUACUUCCCUGAGAUUGGGCUAUGAUGAUGAUUUUUCCAUUGGGAGCACAGAAAAGUGUAUUUGUUCCCGUGGCACUGAUACCACAACCAGCCAGCAUUUACAGCCACACGUGGUUGCUGCAUGGACUUCCCAGUCAUAAACUCAGGAACUUUUGCUCAGAAGGUGCUGGUCCCCGGCACCUGAGGUUUGGAGAAAGCUCCCCAAGGGCAGUCACACUAGCAGCAUAAACUCCUGGAUGAAUCAACCACCUGCAGGCACAGGGAGAAGAUCUGAACUCCUGCCUGGCAUUGGGCAGCAAUGCAUAUAUUAGUCAUCACCUGCACUUUCCUUUCCUUUCCUUUUCCUCAUUAGCCACCAAGACCUGCCCAACUGCAGAGCAUGGACCUGAGACACAGGCUUGUGGAGGAUUUCUCCAGCCUCCAUUAUCACAGGAUUUUUGGUGGUGCCAGAUUAUUGUUGAGAGCUGCAUGUAAUGAGAUGGUCAUGCACAUGUAUACACACGCAAAAUAAAAAAUGACAGACAA